AUUACCCGCUGAACUUAAGCAUAUCAAUAAGCGGAGGAAAAGAAACCAACAGGGAUUACCUCAGUAACGGCGAGUGAAGCGGUAACAGCUCAAAUUUGAAAUCUGCCGCAAGGCCGAGUUGUAAUUUGUAGAAGAUGCUUUGGGUAUGGCCCCGGUCUAAGUUCGUUGGAACACGACGUCAUAGAGGGUGAGAAUCCCGUAUGUGACUGGGUGCUUUUGCCUAUGUAAAGCUCUUUCGACGAGUCGAGUUGUUUGGGAAUGCAGCUCAAAAUGGGUGGUAUAUUUCAUCUAAAGCUAAAUAUUGGCCAGAGACCGAUAGCGCACAAGUAGAGUGGUCGAAAGAUGAAAAGCACUUUGGAAAGAGAGUUAAACAGUACGUGAAAUUGUUGAAAGGGAAGCGCUUGCAACCAGACUUGCACGCUGUUGAUCAUCCAGGCUUCUGUUUGGUGCACUCAACUGCGUUCAGGCCAGCAUCGGUUUUGGUGGUGGGAUAAAGGCCUUGGGAAUGUAGCUUCUUUCGGGGAGUGUUAUAGCCCUCGGUGCAAUGCCGCCUACCGGGACCGAGGACCGCGCUUCGGCUAGGAUGCUGGCGUAAUGGUUGUAAGCGACCCGUCUUGAAACACGGACCAAGGAGUCUAACAUCUAUGCGAGUGUUUGGGUGUCAAACCCAUACGCGUAAUUAACGUGAACGGAGGUGAGAACCCUUAAGGGUGCAUCAUCGACCGAUCCUGAUGUCUUCGGAUGGAUUUGAGUAAGAGCAUAGCUGUUGGGACCCGAAAGAUGGUGAACUAUGCCUGAAUAGGGUGAAGCCAGAGGAAACUCUGGUGGAGGCUCGCAGCGGUUCUGACGUGCAAAUCGAUCGUCAAAUUUGGGUAUAGGGGCGAAAGACUAAUCGAACCAUCUAGUAGCUGGUUCCUGCCGAAGUUUCCCUCAGGAUAUC
rnacentral:rRNA from 1 species